GACGAACGCUGGCGGCGUGCUUAACACAUGCAAGUCGAACGGUGACCUCGGAGCUUGCUCCGGGCGAUCAGUGGCGAACGGGUGAGUAACACGUGACCAACCUGCCCCUUGCUCUGGGAUAACCCCGGGAAACCGGAGCUAAUACCGGAUACGAGACCGAAUGGCAUCACUCGGUCUGGAAAGUUUUUCGGCAAGGGAUGGGGUCGCGGCCUAUCAGCUUGUUGGUGGGGUAAUGGCCUACCAAGGCGACGACGGGUAGCCGGCCUGAGAGGGCGACCGGCCACACUGGGACUGAGACACGGCCCAGACUCCUACGGGAGGCAGCAGUGGGGAAUAUUGCGCAAUGGGCGAAAGCCUGACGCAGCGACGCCGCGUGAGGGAUGACGGCCUUCGGGUUGUAAACCUCUUUCAGCAGGGAAGAAGCGAAAGUGACGGUACCUGCAGAAGAAGCACCGGCUAACUACGUGCCAGCAGCCGCAGUAAAAC
rnacentral:rRNA from 1 species